rnacentral:rRNA from 1 species
ACGGGAGGCAGCAGUGGGGAAUAUUGGGCAAUGGGGGAAACCCUGACCCAGCAACGCCGCGUGAAGGAAGAAGGCCUCCGGGUUGUAAACUUCUUUUAUGAGGGACGAAGGAAGUGACGGUACCUCAUGGAUAAGCCACGGCUAACUACGUGCCAGCAGCCGCGGUAAUACGUAGGUGGCAAGCGUUAUCCGGAUUUACUGGGUGUAAAGGGCGCGUAGGCGGGGAUGCAAGUCAGGUGUGAAAUCUAUGGGCUUAACCCAUAAACUGCACUUGAAACGGUAUCUCUUGAGUGCUGGAGAGGUAGACGGAAUUCCUUGUGUAGCGGUGAAAUGCGUAGAUAUAAGGAAGAACACCAGUGGCGAAGGCGGUCUACUGGACAGUAACUGACGCUGAGGCGCGAAAGCGUGGGGAGCAAACAGGAUUAGAUACCCUGGUA